AGUGGAACUCCAUGUGUAGCGGUGAAAUGCGUAGAUAUAUGGAAGAACACCAGUGGCGAAGGCGGCUGUCUGGUCUGUAACUGACGCUGAGGCUCGAAAGCAUGUGUAGCGAACAGGAUUAGAUACCCUGGUAGUCCAUGCCGUAAACGAUGAAUGCUAGGUGUUGGAGGGUUUCCGCCCUUCAGUGCCGCAGCUAACGCAUUAAGCAUUCCGCCUGGGGAGUACGACCGCAAGGUUGAAACUCAAAGGAAUUGACGGGGGCCCGCACAAGCGGUGGAGCAUGUGGUUUAAUUCGAAGCAACGCGAAGAACCUUACCAGGUCUUGACAUCUUUUGAUCACCUGAGAGAUCAGGUUUCCCCUUCGGGGGCAAAAUGACAGGUGGUGCAUGGUUGUCGUCAGCUCGUGUCGUGAGAUGUUGGGUUAAGUCCCGCAACGAGCGCAACCCUUAUGACUAGUUGCCAGCAUUUAGUUGGGCACUCUAGUAAGACUGCCGGUGACAAACCGGAGGAAGGUGGGGAUGACGUCAAAUCAUCAUGCCCCUUAUGACCUGGGCUACACACGUGCUACAAUGGAUGGUACAACGAGUUGCGAGACCGCGAGGUCAAGCUAAUCUCUUAAAGCCAUUCUCAGUUCGGACUGUAGGCUGCAACUCGCCUACACGAAGUCGGAAUCGCUAGUAAUCGCGGAUCAGCACGCCGCGGUGAAUACGUUCCCGGGCCUUGUACACACCGCCCGUCACACCAUGAGAGUUUGUAACACCCGAAGCCGGUGGCGUAACCCUUUUAGGGAGCGAGCCGUCUAAGGUGGGACAAAUGAUUAGGGU
rnacentral:rRNA from 1 species